rnacentral:rRNA from 1 species
UUACAAUGGAGAGUUUGAUCCUGGCUCAGGAUGAACGCUAGCUACAGGCUUAACACAUGCAAGUCGAGGGGUAACAUGAAGAAAGCUUGCUUUCUUUGAUGACGACCGGCGCACGGGUGAGUAUCGCGUAUCCAACCUGCCCAUAAGUAGGGAAUAGCCUUGCGAAAGUAAGAUUAAUGCCCUAUGGUUUCC